rnacentral:misc_RNA from 1 species
GAAAUGCGAUAAUUAAUGUGAAUUACAGAAUUCAGUGAAUCAUCGAGUCUUUGAACGCACAUUGCGCCCCCUGGUAUUCCGGGGGGCAUGCCUGUCCGAGCGUCAUUGCUGCCCUCAAGCACGGCUUGUGUGUUGGGCUUCCGUCCCUGGCAACGGGGACGGGCCCAAAAGGCAGUGGCGGCACCAUGUCUGGUCCUCGAGCGUAUGGGGCUUUGUCACCCGCUCCCGUAGGUCCAGCUGGCAGCUAGCCUCGCAACCAAUCUUUUUAACCAGGUUGACCUCGGAUCAGGUAGGGAUACCCGCUGCACGUGAGC